GGCAGUGUGGUGUAGUGAUUUGAAUGUUUGACUACGACUCUAGAGACUAGGGUUCGAUUCCCUGCUUGGCCA